CCUACGGGAGGCAGCAGUGAGGAAUAUUGGUCAAUGGGCGCGAGCCUGAACCAGCCAAGUCGCGUGAGGGAAGACGGUCCUAUGGAUUGUAAACCUCUUUUGUCGGGGAGCAAAAGACGCCACGCGUGGCGUUCCGAGAGUACCCGAAGAAAAAGCAUCGGCUAACUCCGUGCCAGCAGCCGCGGUAAUACGUAGGUGGCAAGCGUUAUCCGGAUUGAUUGGGUGUAAAGGGCGUGUAGGCGGGAAAGCAAGUCAGGUGUGAAAACUCAGGGCUCAAGGCUGGGGCUGCAUUGGAAACUGGUUGUCUUGAGUGCUGGAGGGGCGAUCGGAAUUCCGGGUGUAGCGGUGAAAUGCGUAGAUAUACGGAGGAACACCAGUGGCGAAGGCGGAUUGCUGGACAGUAACUGACGCUGAGGCGCGAAAGCGUGGGGAGCAAACAGGAUUAGAUACCCAUGUAGUC
rnacentral:rRNA from 1 species